AGUUUUGGUUUUUUGCUUUGCUUUAUGCUUCUGUAGGGCAAUGGAUUUUACUAUGCCUCUACGUGUAAGUGCUAGCUGACAAGGUUAUAACAUCACAACGGAGACUCUGAGCCAAGACUGAUAAUUCGAGAUAUGCAGCCUGCCAGAAGGACAUCACUUGGGAGGGGCUGCUGUCCUUAAGCUGUAGGUGCUGGCAUUCAGGACAUCAGGGAAUGACUGUACGCUGCCAUGAAGAACUACAGGCUACCACCCUCAGACCUUUGCAAGUUAUCAUGGGGCAAGAACAUGAACACCUCAGGAAAGGUUUUCUGCCUGGUGCCAAUUAGGAGCCAUGAGCCACAGGAGGGUUGGCGGCAUCCUUACCGGAUGCGGUGGCCCACUGAAGGGGGACACCUUGAAGAGAAGCAGCUAGACGUCAUGAUGCAGUUGUUCAUUUUGGUCAUCGCCUCUGAGGUAAGCAUCCAAGUACAGGAAGAAUAAUCUAGGAGAUGUAUGAAAAAGGUAACAGGUUUGAAACAGAGGCAGGCAAAUUAAGUGCUGUCAUUCUUCCAUGUAGUUAAAAGACUGAGAGAAUUGCUGGUUAAGCACGUGUAUACAAGGGUUUGAGAAAGCAUAUUGACCGGUACAAUAAUAUUGAACCAGAAUAAGAUUUCAUG
rnacentral:lncRNA from 1 species